AUCUACGGUCAUACCACCCAGAAUGUGCCCAAUCUUGUUUGAUCUUGGAAGCUAAGCAGGGUUGGGCCUGGUGAGUACCUAGAUG
rnacentral:rRNA from 1 species